CGCGUAGGCGGCUAUGUAAGUCAUCUGUGAAAUCCCGGGGCUCAACUCCGGGGCCGCAGGUGAGACUGUGUGGCUAGAGCAUGGUAGAGGCGAGUGGAAUUCCCGGUGUAGCGGUGGAAUGCGUAGAUAUCGGGAAGAACACCGGUGGCGAAGGCGGCUCGCUGGGCCAUUGCUGACGCUGAGGCGCGAAAGCGUGGGGAGCAAACAGGAUUAGAUACCCUGGUAGUCCACGCCGUAAACGAUGGGUACUAGGCGUCGGGGGGAGCGACCCCCUCGGUGCCGUCGCUAACGCAGUAAGUACCCCGCCUGGGGAGUACGGUCGCAAGACUGAA
rnacentral:rRNA from 1 species